GAUGAAGAACGUAGCGAAAUGCGAUAAGUAAUGUGAAUUGCAGAAUUCAGUGAAUCAUCGAAUCUUUGAACGCACAUUGCGCCCGCCAGUAUUCUGGCGGGCAUGCCUGUCCGAGCGUCAUUUCAACCCUCAAGCCCCCGGGCUUGGUGUUGGAGAUCGGCGAGCCCCCCGGGGCGCGCCGUCUCCCAAAUAUAGUGGCGGUCCCGCUGUAGCUUCCUCUGCGUAGUAGCACACCUCGCACUGGGAAACAGCGUGGCCACGCCGUAAAACCCCCCACUUCUGAAAGGUUGACCUCGGAUCAGGUAGGGAUACCCGCUGAACUUAAGCAUAUCAAUAAGCGGAGGA
rnacentral:misc_RNA from 1 species